rnacentral:misc_RNA from 1 species
UUUCACAAAUAAUCAAGCAUAUAUUAUAUAAUUUGUUAUCCAAUCCACUCAAGAAAUGAUUCCUUUAUGAGUACAAAUAGUGAAUGCUUUCAUUAUUUCACUUUGAAUGACUAAAUGGCAGCAUAAAAGAAAAAACUUGAAACACAAAAGAUCAAGACACUGAACUUUUAGAAACUAUAGACAACUCAAAAUCGCCUUUUGAUUAGUGCAACUGUGACAUCAUUUGGCGAAAUGCACCAUAACCCAGUUCAUGUAAAAAUUGUUAUUUGCAUUCAGUGAACUCAUUAGUCGUUAGCAUCCCUUUGGAUUCACCUGCAUGAUCAUUUUGGAAAGUGGUGCAAGAUUGAUUUUGUGCUCUGCAUCAUGGCCAAGCCAAGUCCUGGCACGCCAAGACCUGCAUGUCAGAUAUCAAUAUCGAAGUGUAUAUUGUUCAAUAACUGCAGCUUCAGAAAACACAUCUGCCAUACAAAACAUCCAACCUUGAGAAAAGCUUCCGUCAAUUCAGCAAAUUAUUCUCAUUCAUGGAAGCCCAAGCUCCUAAUACCAUCAAUCCAUUAAAACUAAUGUCAGCUUUGCUGUUCAAGCACAUCUGCAAUUGUAUUUCUAACUUCACUGCAUAGAACUUCAGGAUCACUUCCUUCUACUGGCUUAUGAAUAACAAUUCUCACAGACCCAAAAUUCAAGAUACCCUCCAUUCCUGGAGGCAUGAUUUUUCCAGUCCCUAUAAGGGUAAUAGGUACUAUAGGCACCCUGGUUUUCGCUGCAACCGAGAAUGCACCUUUCUUGAAAGUGCCUAAUUUUCCAUCUUUACUCCGUGUUCCUUCUGGGAAGAAAAAUACAGACGUCCCCUUCUUCACUAGUUCCAUGCACCGUUUUAGACAUUCCAACUGGCUUCUGCUGUCCAUCCGCUUCAAAGGAAUGACACCCAUCAUAAACAUGGCCCAUCCAAUGAUAGGAAAUAGAAAUAUCCCAGUCUUGCUUAUAAACCUAAAGGUUCUUCCAAGAGUGAGAAGUGUAUAUAUGUCUAGAAAACUCUGGUGGUUUGAAACAUAUACAGCAGGGGUAUCUGGAGAAGGUAGAUUAUCCAAUCCCUCAAACUUGAUUCUUAAAAAUGGAGUGACACUCAACGAUGCCCAAAUUUUGGCAAUGAAAUAAUGAGCUUUUCUUUGGUACCGAUCCAACAAGAGCACAAAAGGAUGCUGUACCAACAUCAGCACAAACAGAAAAAUGGCAGCAAUUGCAGUAACAGCACAAAAGCACACUCCCCUAACUUUUGACCCUAAUUUAGUUUCUGCACUUUAGAGAAGUUUUUCAGAAGACAAAAUUAGCACAAAGUUGAAAUUGAAUUAAGGCAAAUGUCUGAUAAAGGCUCCUGCUACCUGAUAAUGAAUAGGAAGAAUCCGGGAUCCCAUUUCCCACAAGUUCAGAUCUUACACCUGCGUGUCUUCGCAACUUAUUGCUUUUAUUCAAUUUAUAGUCAAAAUAUGGCCAGUUGAACUCCUCUUGUGAGUGAUAAGUCCAUGGAAUUCCCACAUGCUUCCUUUGAAUGCAUAAAGAGCCAUUCAAAGCAGAGUUAGUUGAAUUUCUCAAAAUUGCUUGCUUAAUUGAUAAGUGUCCAAAUAGUCUUUUAUGCUCAUAGAACCGCAAUGAAGUAGAUGAAAGACAAAGGCUGGAUCUUCCACAACAGAGAAGAAGAGGAUUAUGAAUUGGGUGAGAAGCGACUUCCAUGAAUGCAAAGAAAACAAGCAAAAGGAAUCAGUGAUUAUGUGCAGCAUACAAGAUUGAUAUUGAUACAAGAUUGAUAUUGAAAAGGGAAAGAAGGGGAGAGGGGGUAGGGUUACAAGGAGGGAAGCAGCAAAAAUGGAAAAAUUUUGCGAAUUUCGAGGUAAUAUUCCUUUAUCCUGUUUCCUUUAUCCUGAUUGCUGAGGUUCCUUUCAGGUCAGCAAAUGCCAUCGCUUUGGGGGUUUGGAUUGGGACUGGAAGAGGGUUGUGUCGUCUGCUCCCCCAUGGCAGAACAUAUUUAGGUCCGAAA